CCCUAGGAUCAUGACCUGAGCUGAAGGCAGACGCUUAACCACUGAGCCACCCAGGCUGGACUUCAUCUCAGACCAACUGAAUCUGGAUUUCUCAGAUUAUGCACCCAGUUUGGAGGCUGCAGGCCUUACACCCAGCUGAUGGGAGAAGGACAAAAGAAGGGGACUGAGCACAUGCGCUGUGCUCCGCUACCUUUCAGGGCUUGUUCCCAGGGAAUCAUUCACCAGGACCAUACAGGGUCUUCCUACUUCUACCCUGAAAAUCGCUUGGCAUCCUGAACAAAGAAAGGGGGACUGCAGGCUGACCGUGCAAUCAGCCAAGGUUUCAUUCCCCGGUCAUCCACUCAUUGCCGGCUGCCAGCACCUGGAGUUAAAUUCCUUCUGCCAGAGGAGAAGAGGGCCUCAAGACAAGGUGAUACCGAGCCAGUCCUCAAAUAAUGAAGCGAUGUUUGCCAGUAAGAUGAGGGUUGGAGAGAGGACAUUCCAGGCAGAGGACAUUAACAGCAAGAGCCUAAAGUGGCAGCCUUCCUGACUCACUACUCCAACAUUUAUGAAGAUGCAGAACAAGGCACUCCUGCAACACGGUGAGCAAAGAUUGCUCAGGCUGUCACGCAUAGGGCCUUAGUGAUCCAGGUGGGCAGCUGACACCCUUGUCUCAAAGAUUUUCUGGGAGAGGGACUCAUGAUAAUUCCAACAGGUCACACCAAAUUAAGGAGCAGGCAGAGAAAGCCUUCAGGUCUCAGCAAGCUGUUGAGCUCAUGGUGGCAGAAACAAGUCUUCUAAAAUUCUGAUUUGUGCUUGAAAGUUCAAAUUUUAUCUUUGGUAACAAAACUGUGGGCUGUUUUCCUUGAAGUGACAGGCUCACUUCGUUCACUUUUGAGAAGACGCCUGCCAACUACUCAAGCCUGAAUAACUGUAGUUCAUCGGUCCUUCUUUCAAACACAACGGAUGUUCCAUGGAAAAAAGAGACCUAUUGAGCUUACACCUCCAACAACUGCACAAACACUUUUCCUCCAGACAGCCCUCAGACUUCAGCAAAACAGCACAAGUGCUCUACAUGUUCUUCCCAUUUCAUUGCACAGAUUAUUUUUAAAAAGAUUUUAUUUAUUUAUUCAUGAGACACACACACACACACACACACACACAGAGAGAGAGAGAGAGAGAGAGAGAGAGAGAGAGAGAGGCAGGCAGAGACACAGGCCCUGGGCUGAAGGCGGCGCUAAACCGCUGAGCCACCUGGACUGCUCAGAUUAUUAAAAAGACUUGAAUUCAAUGAUCAAGAUUUAAUUUUAAAAAUAACAUUUUUUUUUACUGGGUUAUGAAAGGAUAAAACUGGCUUUCCUGGCCCCUGAGAGUGUGCGGUGGUGAGGUACGCAAUGACCAAUGGUACAGGUGGGUGCUACCACUUUAAUUUACUAAGGUGCCAGUAGUUUUGCCCUGGGUGCGAACAUCAACCUAGUGAAAAAGGCACCCCCUGAAAGGGUCUCAGUAACUCCUAGAGGUCUACGGACCACUUUUUUUAAAAAUUUAUUCAUGAGAGACACAUAGAGAGAGAGA